CUGUACUUAGAUCUCAGGGAGAAAAGCUAGUUUAUGACUCUCUCCCCAGGCUCCUCCCCUGUGUCAGACUGAGGCAAUUAAUUCCACAGCAAGGAAGGUAGAAGAAAUAAGGAAGAUGCCUAGAAUGGUUGUGAGUGUGGAAGGAGCAGGGACCCCAACUCGAUGGCACUCCAGUGCCCAGUAAAUAUUCGACUCCCAUCCAUCCACGUGGAUGCUCCCGCACCAUCCGUUAGAGAGCUCCGUAGAGCUUAUGCAUUACACAGUUUGCUGCCCGUGAUGGAGGUUUAAGACUGAGCUGUGUGCUGUCACUUUAAAAACAAUAGACAUUCGGAGGGGGAGAAAAUGGUCUUGAAUAAUUAGACUGGAGAGCACCAAGGGACAUGGCAGAUGAAUCUUCCACUGAAAGAAUGGCUGAAUAUUUAAACAGAACAUGCACAGCUGGUGAUCUCAUUCUUCACCAUGAAGCCAGAACCUGCUCACCUUAUUCAAAGGAGAAGACCCAUUGAUUCCUAGACAAUGAAGAAUCUGAACACGAUUUGGCCUGUGUAGCCAUACCAGAUAUCUACUAGCUGUGUACUUACUUAAAUAUGAGCUACACUGCAAUCCUACAGUGGAGGUAACCAAGGUGGAGGCACUGGGCAGUUCAGAGGCUUUGUUUAGGGUGUUAUAAAAUCUUUUUCCAUCACCUGUUUGAAUCCAGCCAAGACCAUGGGCCAAGAUUUUCAAACGUUACUAUUGAAUUUUGGGUGCUUUAAAGAACCUUCUCUCCGGAAGGAGCUGAGCACCCAUUGGCUGAAAAUCAGGCUGCUUUAGUGUGUCUCAAACUGAGCACCCAGAAUCGUGAGCUAUUUUUUAAAAAAAAUCUCAUCCACAUUGUGCAAAAGUUGCCACUGGCAGAUGGCUGGUCAUUGGCAAGUGUGAGAUGUGUUGAUGGGAGUCAGCCUAGUUCCUAGUAGAUGCACAUCUACAUCAGAAAAUGACCACUACAGGUAACGCUUAUUGGAGACCUUGGACUGAAUAGGCCAUGUUUUCACCCCUAAAUGUGGUGUUUCUAGAAGAUGUUUCAGGUAUAGUAGUGAGGGUACCUUCCACCUUCGCUACCCAUGCGGUGUAUUUCUUCUGUGUCCAAUCAGAAAUUUCCUUCCUCCAAGACACUUAGUUGACCACUCACUAGCCUUAAAUAAAUGAUUGCUCUUUACAGUACAAUGGUUGCAAGCACACUGUAGUUACAGUGUAGUUACACUGUUGGUCUGAGUUUUGAUGCAUGUAAUUACUACGUAGCUACGUUAACCAUGUUGCUGAGAGCGAAUUAAGUGUAAAUACAAUGUAGUUAAUGAACCCAUGUUCAAGUUCUACAUGUAUUAAAAAUGAAAGCAAAGGGGGUAAUAACAAGUAGUUAUGUAAUACAAUUAACCUUCCAGUUAAAUGAAUGAGUGGUAAUUACCACUCAUCAAAAAAGCAUGACAACAGUGUAAUUACACUGGAUUUGUGGUGCACUUAGUCACUGUAUUAUCAAGUGUAACCUAAAUACACUCUCUGUGAAAUCAACAAAAUAAGAUUCUUAUCUCAUUUGGAGCCAGUUAGCUUUCAUUAUUAUUAAUAAGCAUUGGCACUGAGUGCAUUGGGGCUACAAAGUAGAGCUAAAAAAAUAAUUUGCCACAAGUAGCUUAUUUCAUUUAAAUUUCAUUUAUUUUUUUGAUCCCUGAAUUCUCAGAUACAUUUGCCAGUUGAACUUAUUUUUUAAAAUAACUAACUCUCGGUUCUCACAUCUUCAUGAGUUCAUUAUAGGUAUUUGCAGCUUGUGCCAUGUUUGGUGAGUUACAUUAAUGAUGUGGUUUUGUUCCUUUAUUGGAUGAUUGAGCUGAAAUCGCCAGAGCAGUGCAAAGCGCCAAGUAUGUACUUUACAGUUGAAGAUCAGCUUUGAAAGUCCUGUUAAGGGUGCAGUUCACCCCAGGAUGGGGGCCAGCAUGAGGCCUAUGCAUCAGCUGAAUUCCACUUACGUCUCAAAAUUGUGCAUGAAGUUUUUUAUAGCUGAUCUGAUAAAUGAUGAUUGUCUAUUAACUAGCGGAUAGCCUGCCCUAUGCAUUGUUGCAAUGUAAAAGUUUUUUUGUUUCAAUGGAGAAUCAUUCUGACCAGUUUAUUAUAAGAAUAAUUAAAGUUUUUGAAAAUUGUUUCAGUAGGUAUAUACAUUUGUGUGGAAUUGGGUAUAAAUAAACAGAGUUUACCACAAAAUAACUGAAAAUCAGUUUAUUCUUUAAGUAGGGCCUGAUCCUGGGCAUCUUCCACU